rnacentral:rRNA from 2 species
UUGGUUAAGUUAGAAAGGGCGCACGGUGGAUGCCUUGGCACUAGGAGCCGAAGAAGGACGGGACUAACACCGAUAUGCUUUGGGGAGCUGUACGUAAGCGUUGAUCCAGAGAUUUCCGAAUGGGGGAACCCACUAUCUUUAGUCGGAUAGUAUCCUUACGUGAAUACAUAGCGUGAGGAAGGCAGACCCAGGGAACUGAAACAUCUAAGUACCUGGAGGAAGAGAAAGAAAAAUCGAUUUCCUGAGUAGCGGCGAGCGAAACGGAAAGAGCCCAAACCAAGAAGCUUGCUUCUUGGGGUUGUAGGACACUCUAUACGGAGUUACAAAAGAAAGUUAUAAAUGAAGCGGUCUGGAAAGGCCCGCCAAAGACGGUAACAGCCCGGUAGUUGAAAUGGCUUUCCCUCCAGAGUGGAUCCUGAGUACGGCGGAACACGUGAAAUUCCGUCGGAAUCCGGGAGGACCAUCUCCCAAGGCUAAAUACUCCCUAGUGACCGAUAGUGAACCAGUACCGUGAGGGAAAGGUGAAAAGCACCCCGGAAGGGGAGUGAAACAGUUCCUGAAACCGUGUGCCUACAAGUAGUUAGAGCCCGUUAAUGGGUGAUAGCGUGCCUUUUGUAGAAUGAACCGGCGAGUUACGAUUUGUUGCAAGGUUAAGCGGAAAAAGCGGAGCCGUAGCGAAAGCGAGUCUGAAUAGGGCGCAUAAGUAACAGGUCGUAGACCCGAAACCAGGUGAUCUACCCAUGUCCAGGAUGAAGGUAAGGUAAUACUUACUGGAGGUCCGAACCCACGCACGUUGAAAAGUGCGGGGAUGAGGUGUGGGUAGCGGAGAAAUUCCAAUCGAACUUGGAGAUAGCUGGUUCUCUCCGAAAUAGCUUUAGGGCUAGCCUCGAGGUAAAGAGUCAUGGAGGUAGAGCACUGUUUGGACUAGGGGCCCUUCUCGGGUUACCGAAUUCAGAUAAACUCCGAAUGCCAUGUACUUAUACUCGGGAGUCAGACUGCGAGUGAUAAGAUCCGUAGUCGAAAGGGAAACAGCCCAGACCACCAGUUAAGGUCCCCAAAUAUAUGUUAAGUGGAAAAGGAUGUGGGGUUGCUUAGACAACCAGGAUGUUGGCUUAGAAGCAGCCACCAUUGAAAGAGUGCGUAAUAGCUCACUGGUCGAGUGACCCCGCGCCGAAAAUGUACCGGGGCUAAACAUAUUACCGAAACUGUG